GGAGGAGAUGUUCAGUUGGAGGAGAUGUUUAUUUGAAGGAGAUGUUCAGUUGGAGGAGAUGUUUAUUUGGAGGAGAUGUUUUGGGUCUGUGUGGUGAGGAAAAAUGCAGCUCUGCUCUUUGAGAAAUAAUCUGUCACUGAGGGUUUAGUCCAGCUGAUAAAGAUCACUCGUCUGAAUGGAGAAUUGCCUGGAAGAGUCGCACCGGUGGCCAGAUAAGAGUUUUGGCGGAAGGCGUUAAUUGGAGGAGGCUGUAUGUGGCGGCCCAGCGAGGGAGCACCAAAACCGGAUUAUCUCCUUAAGAUGAUCUCCAAUAUGGCUGCCAGUUCCUCACGGGUCAGCGGAUAUUCACAGCCUCCGUCAUCUGCUGCCCGUCUCUACGCUGUGGGCUUCAGCCAACCGCCAAUUAACCAGCCUGGAGCGCUAAUGCAUAUGAUUCAAUUCAGCUGGAGCACAAAGGAGGAAAUGAAUACGAGUGUAAACACUGGCAUCAGGACACGAUAAUCCUGGAGCAGAUCACAAACCCGUUGUACUGUCAUCACCUGAUCAUAUCUUCCCCUGAGGUCAAAGCGUGCUGCCAUGGCAACAGACAAGGUCAUGUGAUCAGAACGAUGAGGCUCUCGCUCCACCCGCUUUCCUGUGAGGUCAUGCUAUCAAAUAAUGCUCUGCUGAAAACUCGUUUGACCUCUCACUCGUAUGUGUGGACACACACACACACACAGCAGAUCAGAAUCCAUUAUUACUAUAAUGUCUCGAGUGUUGUAUGCUAAUCAACUCACACACAGUAUUUUGCUAAGUAACUGUUUUAACUGUAUUAUUGUUACACAUCUGUUUACUAUUAUUAUUUUUGUGUAUCUGUUUACUGUUUGUUGAAUAUGGAGUGUUUAUUAGACAGACACACACAAACUUUUUCUCAAGAAUGAUCAUAAUGUCUAAUGUACAACACGAACCGUUUUAUUACUGCAGAAAAAUCAUCGACAUGUGUGAGCGACAUGUGUUCCUCACACUGCUCAUGGACAGCA